CCGGGCUGCAGGCAGCGCAGCAGCGCCCGGGCUUGCAGCCCCUGCCCCGCGCCCCGCCAUCCCCCAGGAUGUCUUGGAUGAGGAAGGAGGUCUCGCUGUCCUUUCUAGCCAUGGGGCAGAAUAAAAAUCCUACACAUUUCCUCAUUCUGAGGACCUUCAAACACCUGGCAACCAUAGGAGAUGCUCAGACUCUAAUUUGGGUUUUAGGCCUGCCAAAUCCAUGAUGCAAGGGGGAAAUGUAUUCUUGUGGCAAUUAAAGGAGCAUCAGAAGCCUGAUUCAGGCCCUUCCCUGCAUUUAGGCAGCUUCUCACUGUUUUCCGAAUACACCCUCAAACUGGCAUGACCUGAUAUCUGAAGAUCACCCUUGUAUAGUCCACCUCCUGCCAUACUCUUUAGAUUCAUCCCUGGGAAGAGACCUGUGAACCAGAGAGGCCUAUAAACUGCUUAAAUCCUCAUAAUAAAUCCACCUCAGAGAGCAGAGGGCCUGUCCUUUUAAUCGAAGCUGGACAACCACUGGCUGCUGCUCACACUCCAGAGAUGACUGCAUUUCAGCUCAUUUGUCUGCAAUAUAGGAAAUGCUUUGAGCAGAAGACUGGCUCCACUUCGCUUACCAAACCUAUCAUAUGCUGGAUGAUACCCACCCAAAAAGUCUGUGGAUGUCAGGAUUGUGGGGCCCAAUCUGGAACUGAGUCUCAUCUUCUUGACUUGAUUUAUGCUGGUCAAAAUGAGGAGUAAUUUCAAUGGCAUCAGUGAAGGUGCUUUAGAGCAGCGGUUCUGAACCAGGGGUACGUGAAGCCUCAUCGGGGGGUACAUGCGAUAUAUUUCAUACAUUGUCUAACACAGGUCAAAGGGCCUAAAAAAAGUCUUGACAAUUUGAAAUUGCCAGGGUUUUGCUGCCGUAAAAUGUGCAUGUGUGUGUAAACCAGAUAUCCUACUCCUGCUCCAUGUCUCAACCUUGCACUGGAAACAUCGCUCCUAGGGGGUACGUGAAGUCUCACUCUGAGACCAAGGGGUACGUUGACUGAAAAAGGUUCGGAACCACUGCUUUAGAGUAUAUUCAGAAUUAGGUUCUAGAUGUUUUAGGGUGCGUUCCCUUUCCUACUGAAGUGAAGUGCAUAUACCUAUGAGCCCCAAUGGCAAUGGAAAAGGGCUCUUGCUUUUACAGUUCUUUCUGGCAAGGAUCUAGCUUCCCCCUUAUCUUGGUUCUGUGCAUUUUAUCUGCAUAAGCCUGGUCAGACUCUUUUGCAACAGAUCUGAUCCCAUGUUCCACAACAGAAAUUUCUGAAGUGCUAGGAUGUGAGAUAAACUAUGUAUGGCCCCCGAUUGAUGUAACUAAUCUGUUUGUUCCAAGCAAGCCCUUCUGAAGGGAGCAUUACUCAGGUCAUCCAUCUUUGUAUCAGUUCCAGAUGAAAUAUGUCUUUAUUGGCUCUAAAUAAAAUAAUCCCAAUAUUUUAGGUGAGCAGCAGUGGGCCAAAUAUUCUACAGGUGCAAAGCAGCAUAGCUCUAGCAAUUUCUUUGCCAAGAAUCUGACUUAUCCUGCCUUGAACUAUCUGUCUCACUCUUUCCUGUAGAACAGAAAUAAAUGCUCAAAUCAUGCUGGGUCACUGCAAUAGCAGCACACGCUGAUAGCUGUAUCACCCUAAAUUUUACACUACAUCCUUCUUCCAGAAUUUAGAUAUUGCAUUGCUAUCAUUAAUUGCAGACCUCCAAGUGACAGUGCAUAGUUGCAAGAUUUUUGGAAUGUAUUUUAUGGGAAGGACGUGAAAAUUGUAGUACAUAUCAGGAUGUUGUUGCUGAUAACCAGGUGUAUAACAGAGGCAGAAAAGAUAGUUGCUUGGAGCAGAAAACAUGAAUUGUGUGGGUGAUUUUAGCCUGUAGUAAAUGUAGAGCAAACCAGUUUGCCUGUGGCUAAAAAAGCCCCAUAAAGCUAGCCUUGGUAAUGCAGUAACUCAGAUUAUCCAUAUCUCCCAUGGGACACCACAGAGCCUUCAUAUAAUGGGACAGGUCCCAGAAAUGCUGAUUUGAAAGUCUACUGCCUACUUCCUCAACCUCUAGCUAGCUGCCCAUUAGAACUGUCUCAUUUUCAGCUCAUUAGGAUACUCAGAAGAUCAAGGCUAUACUCUUUACUCUGCAGAUGAUUUGCUAUGUGAUCUCUGACAACGUACUUCAUUUCUCUAGGUCUGUUUCCUCUCCCAGAUGUCUGUCUUGCCUAUUUUUCCUGUAAGGUCUUCAGGGCAAGGAUUCUCUCUCACCAUGUUUGCUUUGUGCCUAGCAUGAGGAACCUUACAUUUCUGCUCUUGGAGCUAUUCAUAAAUAAUCUGUGUAUAUACAAAGGGCUUAGUCUGUCUGUCUGUGCAUCUGUCCGCCUGUCCGUAACACUCUUGGGAAGCCUGGCUCCCGGCGAGGCAGGGCUCCAGCCAGUGCUGCAUCAAGGGUGGUGGGUGGUGGCAGCGGCUGCUGCGUGAAAACUUCUCCCCCGCCCCCACUCCUGGGAGGCAGAGGUGGCGCAGGGUGGUGGGUGGCAGUGCUCCGUCCCCGCCUGCCCCCACCCCCCAUCAUUCUUGACGGGUAAUUCGCUAGUUAAUAAAUAAUGCUAAUGGGAAACAAUAACUUACAUUUUGAGUGGAUCAUGCAUGUUUUGCAAAGCUCUGCAAAAGUAUUGCUGAUUAUCAACAAUUAAAAAAUCCUGUAUACAUGUAGUUGUUUUCAUCUAAGACCAUCUGUAAGUACUGCAUAACUACACCUUCCAGCUAUCCUCCUGGAUUUGCUGGCCUUUGUGAAAUGAGUUUGGGGACUCUCAGUCUAUUGCUACCGGACAAGAUUCCACUUCAAUUCCCUUACUGCUGCUGGUGCUAAUUGACAACCUGGUCAUUAGUCUCAGCUGAGGACACAAGACCGAAGCCAUAUUUAGACUGAGGGCCUGAUUCACCACAGAACGACUCCAGUUUUAUUCUGGCCGAAAUCCUUUGGAAUGCGCUGAGCUUCUGCAGCAAUGUGCAGCUCACCAGCUGAUCCCACCAACGAAACAGCUGUAAGGGAAUCUACGCAUGGCAUCGACAGAAUGCUGGAAUGGAAUCCACGCUGCGCUGGCGUUAUAGCGUCACGCAACGGGAACGGCACUCAGAUGACUCAGACCCUGAAUUCUCAGUCCAAGAGGUUGUCCCCAGUGGAUCAGGGCCGAGGCAUGCUUGUGGGUUAGCACAGGAAACCGUAUCCUGUACAUAAACAGAAAACUCCACUUGCCAGGGCUGGCAGCCCAGCCAUCUUCACCACAAUAAAUUCAUUUUGAUCUGACAGGUCCCUCCUCCAUGAGUUGCUAUAUAUGUCUGGAUAUUCCAUGUAAAUGGAGUGGAGGUAGCAUCUUCAGUGCCCUCUGGUACAAUAGAAAACAGCACGGCCCCUAGUGAAACCCUUCUCCAAAAUGCUAUUGGUCAGAGCAGAUCAGGGAGCUGUAAUCAGAUUCCUGAAGGCUCUGGGUCUGAUUCUGGGGUUAAAAUUAUGUCCUUAAACUUCCUUUUUUGUUAUAUUCCUAUUUUUUUUUUUUUUUACCAAAUGGUCUCAGCAGCCAUGGGAGCCUUUUUCUUCCCGCCUUCACGUUAAACAUCUCUGGAGCAAAUAAUCACAUGAAAACCACAUCAAGUUAUGUGGCUGAGAUAUUAGCAAGAUGACGUUUCUACCAAACAUGAUUAUAAACACAACAGAAGAGAGGAACAUAAGGGCUCUGUAUUUCCCAUCCAACCCCCUUUGUGUUUCAAAUGUAUCCGAGAGUAAAGUAUUUGUUUUGAAGUUCUGCUGGUUUAUAUACUGAUAAUAAUUUCUUUUUCUUUCUUCCUUUUUUUUUUAUUGUUUAUGUUAUGUAAUACAAAUCCAGCCUGGUUGUGA